rnacentral:tRNA from 1 species
UGUAAAUAUAGUUUAAAUAAAACAUUAGAUUGUGAAUCUAAUUAUAGAAAAUUAUCACUUCUUAUUUACC